rnacentral:ribozyme from 1 species
GUUCGAGAUGGACAUCAGGCCACGCGCUUGAUCUGGCUUACCAGAAAUGGGACGAGUUCGUGCAUGGAGCCUUGCGUCGGAGAAAUUGGGAGCUAUAGCUACCCAGUCGAGGCGCGGAAACGCUUCGGACUACGGUGAAACAAUGGGCCAGUUCAGUGUCUUUGCGAACAGUGCAAUGCGCGAGGGGUGAAGGAGGGGGGGAAACAAUUCUCCGGCACCAAACUCAAUCCGGACUACUCUCG